ACGAUGAAUUCCUUCAUUCAUCGGGGGAUAGAGGAGCUGGAAAUUCCUUGUAACAUCGAGUUUCGCGAAAUGUUAUGCAUUACAUCACAGUUCCAAGUUCCAUUCGUGUCGUGUAGGGAAAUCGACGAAACGUGAUCGAUCGAUCCGAUCGUAAAUAUCAUGGUCAAUGCGUUUCGAUGACACGAGCAAACUGUUGCUAACCGGUUGAAAGAGGAGAUUGGGGACGAGCGGAGUUGAGAAAUAUUGG